UACGGAGGGUGCAAGCGUUAUCCGGAUUUACUGGGCUUAAAGGGUGCGUAGGUGGGUCUGUAAGUCAGUGGUGAAAUCUCCGGGCUUAACCCGGAAACUGCCAUUGAUACUAUAGGUCUUGAAUAUCCUGGAGGUGAGCGGAAUAUGUCAUGUAGCGGUGAAAUGCUUAGAUAUGACAUAGAACACCAAUUGCGAAGGCAGCUUACUAAGCAGAUACUGACGCUGAGGCACGAAAGCGUGGGGAUCAAACAGG
rnacentral:rRNA from 1 species